UCCAUUUCACUCCAGACCCUAACUUCAGCUCCUGCAAAAUCGCAAGGUAAACGUUUGCCUUUACACACCUUACGCACAACAAAAGUGUUGCGGUACGCCGGAAAAACGACACGGAGCGUCAGGAAGGGGUCAAUGGCCAGUACGCAAAUAGUGUAAGCGUGGAAUUUUGGCCGAUCUUGACGAAAAGGGGAAGUGGUAAAAACACUUAUCAUUAUAAAUGACGGGAGAUUUUUUCAUCACAGUGUGUAAAAAUGCGUAAUAUCACUUUUUGUGUGGUAAUAAAAAAGGAGAAAACUUGAUGAGCACCGACCUUAAAUUUUCACUGGUAACAACGAUUAUCGUCCUCGGUUUGAUCGUAGCCGUGGGUUUGACUGCCGCGCUGCACUGAUUU
rfam:Escherichia coli str. K-12 substr. MG1655, complete genome.